rnacentral:rRNA from 1 species
GAUGAACGCUGGCGGCGUGCCUAAUACAUGCAAGUCGAGCGAACGGACGAGAAGCUUGCUUCUCUGAUGUUAGCGGCGGACGGGUGAGUAACACGUGGAUAACCUACCUAUAAGACUGGGAUAACUUCGGGAAACCGGAGCUAAUACCGGAUAAUAUUUUGAACCGCAUGGUUCAAAAGUGAAAGACGGUCUUGCUGUCACUUAUAGAUGGAUCCGCGCUGCAUUAGCUAGUUGGUAAGGUAACGGCUUACCAAGGCAACGAUGCAUAGCCGACCUGAGAGGGUGAUCGGCCACACUGGAACUGAGAUACGGUCCAGACUCCUACGGGAGGCAGCAGUAGGGAAUCUUCCGCAAUGGGCGAAAGCCUGACGGAGCAACGCCGCGUGAGUGAUGAAGGUCUUCGGAUCGUAAAACUCUGUUAUUAGGGAAGAACAUAUGUGUAAGUAACUGUGCACAUCUUGACGGUACCUAAUCAGAAAGCCACGGCUAACUACGUGCCAGCAGCCGCGGUAAUACGUAGGUGGCAAGCGUUAUCCGGAAUUAUUGGGCGUAAAGCGCGCGUAGGCGGUUUUUUAAGUCUGAUGUGAAAGCCCACGGCUCAACCGUGGAGGGUCAUUGGAAACUGGAAAACUUGAGUGCAGAAGAGGAAAGUGGAAUUCCAUGUGUAGCGGUGAAAUGCGCAGAGAUAUGGAGGAACACCAGUGGCGAAGGCGACUUUCUGGUCUGUAACUGACGCUGAUGUGCGAAAGCGUGGGGAUCAAACAGGAUUAGAUACCCUGGUAGUCCACGCCGUAAACGAUGAGUGCUAAGUGUUAGGGGGUUUCCGCCCCUUAGUGCUGCAGCUAACGCAUUAAGCACUCCGCCUGGGGAGUACGACCGCAAGGUUGAAACUCAAAGGAAUUGACGGGGACCCGCACAAGCGGUGGAGCAUGUGGUUUAAUUCGAAGCAACGCGAAGAACCUUACCAAAUCUUGACAUCCUUUGACAACUCUAGAGAUAGAGCCUUCCCCUUCGGGGGACAAAGUGACAGGUGGUGCAUGGUUGUCGUCAGCUCGUGUCGUGAGAUGUUGGGUUAAGUCCCGCAACGAGCGCAACCCUUAAGCUUAGUUGCCAUCAUUAAGUUGGGCACUCUAAGUUGACUGCCGGUGACAAACCGGAGGAAGGUGGGGAUGACGUCAAAUCAUCAUGCCCCUUAUGAUUUGGGCUACACACGUGCUACAAUGGACAAUACAAAGGGCAGCGAAACCGCGAGGUCAAGCAAAUCCCAUAAAGUUGUUCUCAGUUCGGAUUGUAGUCUGCAACUCGACUACAUGAAGCUGGAAUCGCUAGUAAUCGUAGAUCAGCAUGCUACGGUGAAUACGUUCCCGGGUCU